GCUUAACACAUGCAAGUCGAGCGAGAAUCGUUUUGCUGAAGGCUUCGGCCUGACGCAGAAUGAGGAAAGCGGCGAACGGGUGAGUAACGCGUGGGCAACCUGGCCUUAAGAAAAGGAUAGCCCCCGGAAACGGGGAGUAAUACUUUAUGAGAAUGAGAGAGGGCAUCCUACUUUCAUUCAAAGCGCAAGCGCUUAAGGAUGGGCCCGCGUAGCAUUAGCUAGUUGGUGAGAUAACAGCCCACCAAGGCAACGAUGAUGGGCGGGUCUGGGAGGGCGAACGGCCAAAUUGGAACUGAGGGACGGUCCGAACUCCUACGGGAGGCAGCAGUGGGGAAUAUUGCGCAAUGGAGAAGAACUCUGACGCAGCAAUACCGCGUGAGCGAAGAAGGUCUUCGGAUCGUAAAGCUUUGUUAUCAGGGAAGAAGAAAAUGACGGUACCUGAUGAGCAAGUCCCGGCUAACUACGUGCCAGCCGCCGCCGUAACAC
rnacentral:rRNA from 1 species